GAUGAAGAACGUAGCGAAAUGCGAUAAGUAAUGUGAAUUGCAGAAUUUAGUGAAUCAUCGAAUCUUUGAACGCACAUUGCGCCCGCCAGUAUUCUGGCGGGCAUGCCUGUUCGAGCGUCAUUUCAACCCUCAAGACCCCUUCGGGGGACUUGGUGUUGGGGACCGGCACAGGGGCCUGCCUGCUUGUCUUGCAGCGCCCUCGCCGCCCCCGAAAUGAAUUGGCGGCCUCGUCGCGGCCUCCCCUGCGUAGUAGCACAAACCUCGCAACGGGAACGUGACGGCGGCCACUGCCGUAAAACAACCCAAUUUUAUUAGAGUUGACCUCGAAUCAGGUAGGAAUACCCGCUGAACUUAAGCAUAUCAAUAAGCGGAGGA
rnacentral:misc_RNA from 1 species